rnacentral:rRNA from 1 species
AUGGCGACGGAGGCGCAGGCGCAGUGGGUGCUGACGGCCACGGGGCGGUCGCCGACCAAUAUCGCGGUGAUCAAGUACUGGGGGAAGCGGGACGAGGCGCUCAUCCUCCCCGUCAACGACAGCAUCAGCGUCACCCUCGACCCCGACCACCUCUCCGCCACCACCACCGUCGCCGCCAGCCCCGCCUUCCCCUCCGACCGCAUGUGGCUCAACGGCAAGGAGAUUGCGUUGUCGGGCGGGAGGUUUCAGAACUGCCUGAGGGAGAUCCGGAAGCGGGCUCGUGACGUCGAGGACGAGAAAAAGGGGAUCAAGAUCAAGAAAGAGGACUGGGAGAAGUUGCACGUCCACAUAGCGUCGUACAACAACUUCCUGACCGCCGCCGGUUUAGCCUCUUCAGCUGCUGGCUUUGCUUGUCUUGUUUUCACCCUUGGAAAGCUAAUGAAUGUGAAUGAAGAUUAUGGAGAACUUUCUAAUAGCAAGGGGUCUGGAAGUGCAUGCCGCAGUAUAUAUGGUGGAUUUGUGAAAUGGUGUAUGGGGAAAAAUGAUGAUGGAAGUGACAGUAUGGCAGUACAGCUUGUUGACGAGUCGCAUUGGGAUGAUCUUGUUAUAAUCAUAGCAGUGGUCAGUUUAAAGCAGAAGGAAACCAGUAGCACCAGUGGGAUGCGGGACACUGUUGAAACAAGCCCCCUCUUGCAGUACAGGGCCCAGACUGUAGUGCCAGGUCGCAUAUUGAAAAUGGAAGAGGCCAUCAAGAAACGUGAUUUUGAAUCCUUUGCCAGGUUAACUUGUGCAGAUAGCAACCAGUUUCAUGCUGUAUGUUUGGACACGAGUCCUCCCAUCUUCUACAUGAAUGAUACGUCACACAGGAUAAUUAGCCUUGUGGAGAAGUGGAACCACUCAGAAGGAACCCCACAGGUUGCCUACACAUUUGAUGCUGGGCCUAACGCUGUCCUAAUAGCGCGAAACCGCAAAACGGCCACCCUUCUCCUUCAGAGGCUCUUAUACUGCUUCCCUCCACAAGAAAAUGAUUUGGACAGCUAUAUGGUUGGCGAUAAAUCAAUCCUAAGUGACGCCGGAGUGCAGUCCGUAGCUGACAUCGAGGCCCUUCCACAGCCACCAGAGAUGAAGACACCAAACCAAAAAUUCAAGGGCGACGUUAGCUACUUCAUCUGCAGCAGGCCUGGGGCUGGCCCAAAAGUUCUUACCGACGAGAGCCACACAUUGAUUGAUUCAGCCACGGGGCUUGCAAAAGGAGUGUAA